CUGAACAGAAAGCUUGGACAGCAAGCUGAUUCCCUUUGUUAACUGGAGGGUGCUGUGCUCUGUGUCUUCUUAAACUUCUUGUGUUGACACAGUGCUUCGACAAUAAGGACUAAUGGAGUUGGAAUCUAUAGAGCUCUGUCCAUAUGAUCCAAACCACAGGAUACCUGCCAGCAGGUUACAGUACCAUCUGGCAUCAUGCAAAAAGAAAAAUCCAAAGAUAGCAAAAAAGAUGGCUAACUGCAAAUACAAUGCCUGUCAUGUGGUCCCAAUCAAAAGGCUGAAGGAACACGAGGCCAACUGUAUCAACAGGACUGCAGUCGAUGAUGAGCCACUUAAUCUUCAAAAGAUUACUCAGCCAAGCUUUGAAGAAAAUGAAAACCUCUGCAGUGCUGGGAGUCAGUUUACUGACCCUGAUGUCUGGAACGUGGGUAAGCAAGGAUGAAACAAAACAGAACUGUGAGCAGAUGUGUGUGCUUUAGAACCAGCAGAUAAUAGUAAGCACAGCCUAAGUAAUAAAUACUUAAACUCUGCUCUCAAAAACUAUUCCCUACAAAUCACUAGGUCUAAGGAUUUCACCUGCCUCUAGAGGGAUGGCCCAGUUAAAAAUAUAGUCGAACUGAGCAAUAGGCCAGCACGCCAUUGUCACAGCCUUUGACCAGGAAGGAACCUUGACCAGCCAAAGUGGCCAAAUCACCCUGAUUUGUUGGUAAAGACUGUGCAACUGAAAAUUCAGACUCAGCAGCUCACACUAAGGUCCUAGUGUUGUACACUGGCAGAUCUGAAGUGCCUUAUUUACACAGUGCAAGUUACAUGCUAGGAAACUACCAAAAACUGGCUGUAAACAAACGAGUACAUCCCCCUACUGGAGACACCGCCACAUGCACCUCCAUGUACCCCACAGCCUUGUGCUGCAGGGGUAUUUUUGUUACUGCCCAGCCCCUCUCCCCUUUUCCAAUUACUCAAGAAUCAAUUAUUCCUUAAACAAAAGUGUAUUCAAUAGCUAUUGUUCCUUUUUUAAAAAAAAAAAGUAAUCUAGCUAAAAUCUGAAUUCACAUAUAAAACCAUCUUGCCAGGCAUGGUGACUUACCUAUAAUCUCAGCACUCAAGAAGCAGAGGCAGGAGGAUCUCUGUGAGUUCGAGGCCACCUUGGUCUAUACAGAAAGCUCCAAGACAACCAGGACCACAUAGAGGAAACCCUGUCUCAAAAAUAAAUCAAUUAAUUGAAAAAACAAAAUAAAAGACCUCACCAGCUUUCAGUCUGAAUUAAGUCCGGCUAUUAAGGAAGUUACUUCUGAAACACAUCUUUAAAAUGCUCAUCUAUAAAAGUCUGCCUUAUAAUCAAUAUUGAAUAUAGGAAAGGGCCGUGGCCAGAGGCAUAGCCCUUGCUGAGCAUGCACAGGGUCCUAGGUCCUAACUCCAGCCCUGCAAAACAAUAAAAAAUAAUUAAAUAUACGUGAUAGAACAUGACUUCUUCCCAUAAUAUAAGCUCUAAAUUAUGUUAAUGUUAUAAUUUAAAAUGUCAGUAAAAGUAUUGUGUUGACUAGCUCUGUGUCAACUUGACAUAAGCUAGAGUAAUCUGAGAGAGAACCUCAACUGAGAAAAUGCCUCCACAAGACCAGAGUGUAAGUGAACCUGGAGGUCAUUUUCUUGAUGAAUGAUUGAUGUUGGAGGCUCCAGCCCGUUGUGGCCAUUCCACCCCUGGAUUGGUGGUUGUGUCCUAUGUAACAGGCUGAGCAAGCCAGCAAGCCCCCUCCUUAGUUCCUGUCUCCAGGAUCCUGUCCUGACUUCCCUCACUAGUCAACUGUUACCUGGAACUGUAAGUGAAAUAAACCCUCUCCUCCCCAAGGUGCUUUGUUCAUUGUCAUAGUAUUAAAGACCCUAAGACAGAUUCAGUCAGUAAUAACUGAAUGAGGAUACAAGCUUGUCUCAGCUUGUGGCUGUCAACCUUCCACAUUUAGCUUCCGACGGUGACACAAAAGGGGACUGGAAAGGUACCUGAUUUGAAAAGAUGCAUUUGCUUGCAUUCAUAUUCCCCUAGUUAAACGGUUGUAUGCUCAUCCCUAAAAGUAAGGGGGUGGACGUGUGUGGUUCCUGGCAGAGAAACCCCUUCCCAGCAACAGCUAGCCUUCUCUGCGACAAUCUGAAAAUGCUCAGGAAUUGUUUUUCUUCUUCUUGCUCUCGACUUUUUAGAUCACAUGAAUCAUUUUCCUUCAUUUGUUCUUGAGACUUUUGCUCCAAAAACGCUGGUUUGUGAAAGUGACUCAAGAGACCUACAAGAAGCUAUGUCUGAUAAGCAUCCUAACAGCUCCAAGUCUUGGGGAAGAGGUCAGAAAAACUGAUGGAGACAUUGCCAAUUAAAGUGCGGGCAGACGAACAGAAGUCAUUUUAAACCUUAGGGAAAUCUUAACUUUUUAAAUAACUUUUAACACUGUCAUCUUAACAUGUUUUUAUUUAAAUAAAGAAUAUUUUCCUUGG
rnacentral:lncRNA from 1 species